CCUACGGGUGGCUGCAGUGAGGAAUAUUGGUCAAUGGGCUUACGCCUGAACCAGCCAAGUCGCGUGAGGGAAGACUGCCCUAUGGGUUGUAAACCUCUUUUGUCAGGGAGCAACGCCGGCUACGUGUAGCCGGACUGAGAGUACCUGAAGAAAAAGCAUCGGCUAACUCCGUGCCAGCAGCCGCGGUAAUACGGAGGAUGCGAGCGUUAUCCGGAUUUAUUGGGUCUAAAGGGUGCGUAGGCGGAAUGCCAAGUCAGCGGUAAAAUCGCGGGGCUCAACCUCGCUCCGCCGUUGAAACUGCAUCCCUUGAGUGCGCGAGAAGUAUGCGGAAUGCGUGGUGUAGCGGUGAAAUGCAUAGAUAUCACGCAGAACUCCGAUUGCGAAGGCAGCAUACCGGCGCGCAACUGACGCUCAUGCACGAAAGCGUGGGUAUCGAACAGGAUUAGAUACCCUUGUAGUC
rnacentral:rRNA from 1 species